rnacentral:tRNA from 1 species
GCAGAGGUAGCGAAGUGGUCCAACGCGUAAGGCUUAGGACCUUAUGGCUUAGCGCCCUCGUGGGUUCAAAUCCCACCCUCUGCA